CAAUAGAAACAGGAACAACAUUUCGAAGUUGGGAACCAGUUGAAGGUCUGGACUGGUGACCACGAACACGAUUUGACUUUUUUGGGAACAUAAAUUCAUUAUCUCCAAAUUCGCCAGAGGGCGUCUUUGGCAAAGGAGGUGGGCUAAAUAUACGUGGAACUGCUGGUAAAUCAUCUAAAUCAUCAUGUGCAAGACUGGCUAAAGUGUCGACUUUACCAAACCGUAAGCCAGGCGGAGGAAGAGCACGCGCACUGGUGGAAGGGUCAACUUCAUUCUGCUUAUCCUCGUCAAUACUGUCCUCAGUGACCUCAGAAAUGCGACUGGGAAGUUUGCGCUCUAUGGGUUCAAACGACUUGGAGGUAAAAUCGGGCGAAUGCCAGGUGCGAGGAGGCGUAAUUGGUGAGUUAGCAGCCGAUUCUACAUCAGCUGUAGCACCGGCACCAGCUUCUUUCGGGGGAUCAAUUCCAUCAAUUACUUUACGAACAGCACGAGCAGGAUCCAGCAAAGAAGUUGGGGAAGGAGUUACCACUGAAGAGCUAUCUUGUGGAGCCAUGAGACGAGUGACUUGUGGA